ensembl:snRNA U1 U1 spliceosomal RNA
AUACUUACCUGGCUGGGGAGAUAGCCUGAUCACAAAGGUAGUUUUCCCAGGGUGAGGCUUAUGCAUUGCGCUCUGGAUGUGCUGACCCCUGCGAUUUCCCCAAAUGUGGGAAACUCGACUGCACAAUUGUGGUAGUGGGGGAUUCUUUCGUGCUCUCCCCUU